AUUGAACGCUGGCGGCAUGCUUUACACAUGCAAGUCGAACGGUAACAGGCCUUCGGGUGCUGACGAGUGGCGAACGGGAGCGUAAUGCUUCGGCACGUACCCAGUGGCGGGGGAUAACGCAGCGAAAGCUGUGCUAAUACCGCAUGUGACCUGAGGAUGAUAGAGAGGGACCGAGCAGCAAUGUUUGGCAUUGCGCCUUUGCAGCGGCCGAUGUCGGAUUAGCUAGUUGGUGGGGUAAAGGCCUACCAAGGCGACGAUCCGUAGCUAGUCUGAGAGGACGACCAGCCACACUGGGACUGAGACACGGCCCAGACUCCUACGGGAGGCAGCAUAGGGGAAUUUUGGACAAUGGGCGCAAGCCUGAUCCAGCAAUGCCGCGUGCGGGAAGAAGGCCUUCGGGUUGUAAACCGCGUUUGGCAGGAACGAAACGGUGUCCGCUAAUACCGGGCGCUAAUGACGGUACCUGCAGAAUAAGCACCGGCUAACUACGUG
rnacentral:rRNA from 1 species